rnacentral:lncRNA from 1 species
CUACGGAACCCGGCACUAUCAUUCACAUGGAGAAGGCUACCCAAAAAAUUGAGCAUGAGUUGCUGUAUAAAAGAGUGGAAACCUGGGAGGAGUCUGCGAAAGCGAAAAUUGAUAAUAGGUGCUGCAUUACAUGUUCAGUCAAAUAACAAUCACCUCCGUAGCGUGUUCGUAGUAGAUUCUGUCCUGCCCGACGCUCAUUCUUAUAAUCUUCAUCGCUCGUGUGAACUUACGUUGACAGAGUAACCAUGUUUUACAGAAUGUAAUUCUCAUUCGUAGUGCCUGGACUGUUCCACAGAUUUAACAGAGAGGAGAAGAGGAUCACUGAAGAGGAGGCGACAAUGAAGACCAAAGCCGAAGCCCGCCUUAGAAAAAAAGAGGAGAAGCUUGAGAACUUACGGGCGAAGUACACGGAGAUGAUGAAAAAUGAAAUCGCAGCUGCCCACAAGGCCGCCGAGGAGAAGAGGGCCGUUAACGCUGCUAAGAAGGGUGAAGACAUUCUCAAAACCCAGGAGAUGGCUGCUAAGAUCAGGGCAACGGGAAAAUUCCCUGUGAAGUACGGUUGUUUUGCGGCCUAAAAUCCUCGACUUUCAUUUCUCCCCUACAUCCAUAGAUUUUCUCUUAGAGUUAUGGGAUUUUAUCAAUAUCAACCUGUGUGGAAAGAAUGCGUUAGCAAACCCUAUUUGACGAGAUCGACUAGACUCUGUAUUUUGGGAGGCAAGAAGGUCACGGAAUCUCGGUGUAUUGUAAAGUCGCAUGUGAAAAACAUCCAGCUCAGUCUAGUAUAGGGACAAAUGCCC